CGUACACUCCUACGGGAGGCAGCAGUAGGGAAUCUUCCACAAUGGGUGCAAACCUGAUGGAGCAAUGCCGCGUGAGUGAAGAAGGUCUUCGGAUCGUAAAGCUCUGUUGUUAGAGAAGAACACGUGCUAGGUAACUACUAGCGCCUUGACGGUAUCUAACCAGAAAGUCACGGCUAACUACGUGCCAGCAGCCGCGGUAAUACGUAGGUGACAAGCGUUGUCCGGAUUUAUUGGGCGUAAAGGGAGCGCAGGCGGUCUGUUUAGUCUAAUGUGAAAGCCCACGGCUUAACCGUGGAACGGCAUUGGAAACUGACAGACUUGAAUGUAGAAGAGGAAAAUGGAAUUCCAAGUGUAGCGGUGGAAUGCGUAGAUAUUUGGAGGAACACCAGUGGCGAAGGCGAUUUUCUGGUCUAACAUUGACGCUGAGGCUCGAAAGCGUGGGGAGCGAACAGGAUUAGAUACCCCAGUAGUCCCAUG
rnacentral:rRNA from 1 species